rnacentral:snoRNA from 1 species
AUUUUAUGAUGAGGAUGCUUAUGAAACAAUUCCUUGAAUCUCUCCCACGCCUCGUAUAAGGACUCAUCAUCCAAUUGUUGAAAAGUAGUUAUAUCAUUGCAACU